rnacentral:misc_RNA from 1 species
AGAAGGCAAGUACUGGAGGUUACAGGUACUAGUGCUUCAAAAAAAUCAAAAGUUUUACUACCAUAAAGUAGUAGGGGGCCUAUUGAUUGUUAUUUUCCCCCUAGACUUGCUGUUAUGGGAAAAAAUAUGAGGCAAACUACCAUUGAUGAAAAUAGUCCAGCUAAAAAGGAGUUAAGGGAGCGUGCUUGUGUUGCCAUAGCACGAUGGAUGUAUGAUGUGGGAAUAGCUUUUAAUGCUGUGAAUUAUGAUAGCUUUGGGGAAAUGAUUCGAGCAAUUGGAAAUUAUGGGAGAGAAAUGAAACCUCCAAGUUUUCAUGAGGUUAGAGUUCGGUUACUUAACAAAGAAGUGCAAAUCAUAAAUGAUCUUCUCGAGUCUCAUAAAGAAGAAUGGGAAAAUUAUGGAUGUACAUUGAUGUGUGAUGGAUGGACGGAUAGAAAAGGGAGAACCUUGAUUAAUUUCUUGGCUAAUAGUCCAAAGGGAAGUGUAUUUAUUAAAUCAGUUGAUGCAAGUGAUGAAUCAAAGACAGCGGCAUUGUUGGCUAGUUUGAUUGAGAAAGAAUUGAUGGAAAUUGAUCCCGAAAAAGUGGUUCAAGUUGUUACAGAUAAUACAUCAAAUAAUGUUGCAGCAAGUAAAAUUUUUAUUUAAUUUUUUCUAUUACUAAAAAAAAUAUCAUUUUAUUUUUAUUAUUAAUGGAAUGAAUUUUUCUACUUGUUUAUGACAGGGAGAAUAUUGGAAGCAAAUUUUUCUCAUCUAUACUGGACUCCAUGUGCAGCCCAUUGUAUAGAUUUGAUGUUGGAGGAUAUCUUUAAGAUCCGUGUUUUCAAAGAAACAUUCCGCAAAGCUGUUGAGCUUACUGGUUUCAUAUAUGGCUCUUCAGGAGUUCUAAAUAUGUUGCGGAAGUUUACUAAUGGAGUAGAAUUGCUAAGGCCAGGGCAAACUAGAUUUGCUACUGCUUUUAUUACACUGGGAAAGAUUCAUCUUCAGAAAGCCAUCAUUAGAAAAAUCUUUACUUCAAAAAGUUGGACAACUAGUAAAUGGGCUAAAGAGGUGAAAGGCAAAAAGUGUGAAAGGACGGUUUUGAGUCCUGCCUUCUGGAAUCAUGUUGUUUAUGAUCUUGCAUCGAGUUGGCAAUGCAAUGGCUUCUUUAGCCCUAUCCAUGGCUUCAUAAAUAUAUCCCAUAGCUGUUUUUUUUUUCAUUAUCAACAAG